GGUCUCUGCCGUGCCUUCCUCCCCAUCGUCGCGCUGAGGAGAUCGCCUUCCUUCCCACAAAUCUCCAAAAAUGAAACGCCGAUCUCCUCCCUGCUCUCCUCGCCGCCACCUCCGAGCGGUCUUUACUGUCGGGUUCCUUCCCAUCAUCACUGGCGUCGGCCUUUCCCUCCAAUCUCCUUCAGGUGCUUUCCUUCCCAUAGAUCUCGGAAAGGAGAAAGAAAUUAAAAAAAAAAAAAAACCCUUAAGGGACCAAUCGGGUGCUUUCCUUCCCACGGAUAUCAAAAAAAGAAAAAAAAAGAAAAGAAAAAAAAAGCAAAAACAGAAAAAAGAUCAAUCUAUGUGGGAAAAUGUCCUACCUUUAAAUUUUUUUUCGCCUUUCCUUUGUUAUCGCUGAUUUUUCUUAUGUUCCCCUGAUAAUUUUUUUUUCCCCAUUGUGAGGAGUCUAUAUGGUUGAGAUAAAACCCCAAUCGAACCGGAGAAACCCCUCCGAUCUCACUCGCAUGCUCUGCUUCCGGCGGAUUUCUGUUUUCCCUCUUGCUCUGUUUUUUUUUCCCUCCAAUUCUCAAGUGUCUCGAUCGGGGGUGGGAGGCUUGGAGCGGCCGAAUGGGAAAGAACCCCAUCCGGAACUGGAGAAACCCAUCUCCCUCAGAUGCUCUCCUUCCGGUGGAUCGGAAGAAAUGAAAAGUCAAUCUAUGUUGGAAAAAGACUUACCUUUUAACUCCCCAGCGUCGCCCCCCGUUACUGGGCUCCGGCGAUGGACCGUUGAUAGACAAGGCGAGCUUCGCUCGCAUGAAUUGUUUUUCUCUAUUGGAGGUGGUCAAAGAUGGUGGAGGAGCUGGGGAAGAGGAGGACGAUAUGACUGGUUUGCUCGGAGUAGACUUCCAUGCUGGAAGGUCGAGAAAGGUACAACUCGGUUGCUGCUGUUGGAUCUCAGAGACUAUCAAGGUGGCUGCGGUGCUUUUAUUGAGACGACAGGGAUGUGUCCUUUUUGUCGUAAGAACGGAGAUGUGUCCUUAACCCAAAACUGUAGGUAAAUGGAUAUGAAGGUCCCAAGUUCUGUACAACUUCAGUAUAGAGGUUAAAAGGUAAAUGAUCAGUAUAUUCGUUAUUGAUGCCAUGAUGCUGCUAUCCAAUCUCUUGCAUGGUACUCGAAGAGGAGAUACAGUUGGCAAACCUUUUCCUCGAGCAUAGGGAAAAAACUGCAUACAAAAAUAUGCUUUACGUGCAGUGAUUCAAGCACCGAUGAGGAAUAUACCCUGGGAGAUGAAGGCUA